rnacentral:rRNA from 1 species
UACGUAGGCAGCGAGCGUUGUUCGGAGUUACUGGGCGUAAAGCGUGCGUAGGCGGUGUCUUAAGUUUGUUGUGAAAUCUCCCGGCUUAACCGGGAGGGUGCGGCGAAUACUGAGAUGCUGGAGUGCCGGAGAGGUAAGCGGAAUUCCUGGUGUAGCGGUGAAAUGCGUAGAUAUCAGGAAGAACACCCGUGGCGAAAGCGGCUCUCUGGAACGGUACUGACGCUGAGACGCGAAAGCGUGGGGAGCGAACAGG